GUGCUUGCCUUGGCAGCACAUACACUAAAAUUGGAAUGAUACAGAGAAGAUUAGCAUGGCCCCUGUGCAAGGAUGACACGCAAAUUCAUGAAGUGUUUCAUAUUUUU
rnacentral:snRNA from 1 species